rnacentral:lncRNA from 10 species
GUCGAGGUCGGGCUUGGGAAGGGUCAGCGGGAGGCCUGAGGGCGCCGGGCGCUGCGGCAGGCGGGCCCGGGGUCCAGCCGAGAGGGUCCGGGCGCCAGGCAACGCGAUUCGCGCGGGGGUGAACCCGGGGAGGGGGCCGGCCUCCCCGUUCUGGGACCUUUCGGUGCGUCCGAGCGCGACACCGCCCGCGUCGGGGGCUUGGGAGCCUCGGGGCGCGAGCUGUGUUGGAAGCAAAGUCCUCCUUGUGGGUUGGGGUGGCGGAGGGAGAAGGGAAGCGAGGGUCGCGGCGGGACCAGACGCCCCAGUCCCGGCCCGCCCGCGACUACUGAAGGCGCUGCCGCCUGACCUGAACGGGCACUUGUGUUCCAGCUCCCCUGGGACCUGUGGCCGCCGCCCACAGACCAUGCUCCUGGGGCGCCUGACUUCCCAGCUGUUGAGGGCCGUUCCUUGGGCAGCUUCCGAUGCUCACAGAGGGAACCUCAGGGGUUCAGGCCAGGAAUGAGGUGCGGGGGAUCCUCGCUGGGACGAACCUGCUGCUCCUCAACCCGACGGGCCUGUGUGGUCUCGCGAGCGGUGACCGUGGCGUCUGGUUUUCUGCAGGCGGCCGC